GAUGAAGAACGUAGCGAAAUGCGAUAAGUAAUGUGAAUUGCAGAAUUCAGUGAAUCAUCGAAUCUUUGAACGCACAUUGCGCCCCUUGGUAUUCCGAGGGGCAUGCCUGUUCGAGCGUCAUUAUAACCCAUCAAGCUCAGCUUGGUGUUGGGGCCUGCUGCACUGGCAGCCCUUAAAAUCAGUGGCGGCGCCAUCUGGCUCUAAGCGUAGUAAUUCUUCUCGCUAUGGAGUCCUGGUGGAUGCUUGCCAUCAACCCCCAAUUUUUCUAUGGUUGACCUCGGAUCAGGUAGGGAUACCCGCUGAACUUAAGCAUAUCAAUAAGCGGAGGA
rnacentral:misc_RNA from 1 species